rnacentral:snRNA from 1 species
UGGAAUCCCGACUGUUGUUCUUU